rnacentral:rRNA from 1 species
GAAUCAACGCUGGCGGCGUGCCUACAGACAUGCAAGUCGAACGCGAAAGGUUCCUUCGGGAACCGAGUAGAGUGGCGCACGGGUGAGUAACACGUAGGGUAAUUUGCCUUUGGGUGGGGAAUAACUCAGGGAAACUUGAGCUAAUACCGCAUAAUGCAGCGGCUCGACAUCGAGACAGUUGUUAAAGCGGGGGAUCGCAAGACCUCGCGCCUGAAGAGAAGCCUGCGGCAGAUUAGCUAGUU